rfam:Gossypium raimondii chromosome 5, whole genome shotgun sequence.
AUCCCAUAAUGAGGACACUUACGAAGUAACUCUUUGAAUUGCUCCCAAGCCUCAUACAAAGACUCGUCAUCCAAUUUUUGGAAAGUUGUGAUCUUGUUCCUUAACUU